AACGUAGGGGGCUAGCGUUGUUCGGAAUUACUGGGCGUAAAGCGCGUGUAGGCGGUUCGGCAAGUCGGAAGUGAAAGCCCUCGGCUCAACCGGGGAACUGCUUUCGAAACUGCUGGACUUGAGUGUGGGAGGGGAGACCGGAAUUCCAGGUGUAGCGGUGAAAUGCGUAGAUAUCUGGAAGAACACCGGUGGCGAAGGCGGCUCUCUGGACCACUUCUGACGCUGAGACGCGAAAGCGUGGGGAGCAAACAGG
rnacentral:rRNA from 1 species